UAAUCAAGUGGAUUUCUGCUAUAAGGAUGAAGAAUCAUUGGAACCAAAAAGGAAAAUGAUACGUUGUUGUCUGAGAGCAAGAAGUAGGAAAUGAGGGCUUAUUCAGCUUUAAACGCAUCUGUUGAAAAUAUAUAAAUGCAGAGUGCUCUUAUUUGUUUCCAAGACGAAGAUAUUUUCAUCCCAAAUUUAUAUGAAAGACUCUGUUGGAAGAUGAAGACUGAGAAAUGGUGCUCAUGAUUUAUCAAGGUUUUACUAGAGAAACAGAUACAACACAAGGUAUACAAACGUAUAAGAGAUUACAAGUUUGGCUUACAAUGGUCAGUCACAGAGUGGGAUGAGGAAGCGUGCAGAGGGUGUCUGCACACUGGAGGCUUCUGUGCAAGUCCGUAUCAGGAGGUUGACAGGUCUGCGGUGGAACGCUGAAGAAUCUACACCAAAGGGUUGAAGGACCCAAGGCAGAAGCCCGAGUCUGCACUAGAAGCCAGGAGAUGAUGUCCAAACUGAAG